rnacentral:rRNA from 1 species
UGAGGAAUAUUGGUCAAUGGGCGUAAGCCUGAACCAGCCAUCCCGCGUGCAGGAAGACGGCGCUAUGCGUUGUAAACUGCUUUUCCAGGGGAAGAAAACUUCCGACGUGUCGGAACUUGCCGGUACCUUGGGAAUAAGCAUCGGCUAACUCCGUGCCAGCAGCCGCGGUAAUACGGAGGAUGCGAGCGUUAUCCGGAUUUAUUGGGUUUAAAGGGUGCGUAGGCGGAUUAAUAAGUCAGUGGUGAAAACCUGCAGCUUAACUGUAGAACUGCCAUUGAUACUGUUAGUCUUGAGUACGGUCAAGGUAGGCGGAAUGUGUAAUGUAGCGGUGAAAUGCUUAGAUAUUACACAGAACACCGAUUGCGAAGGCAGCUUACUGGGCCAUUACUGACGCUGAUGCACGAAAGCGUGGGGAGCGAACAGG